AUGAACGCUGGCGGCGUGCCUAAUACAUGCAAGUCGAGCGAACAGACGAGGAGCUUGCUCCUCUGACGUUAGCGGCGGACGGGUGAGUAACACGUGGAUAACCUACCUAUAAGACUGGGAUAACUUCGGGAAACCGGAGCUAAUACCGGAUAAUAUAUUGAACCGCAUGGUUCAAUAGUGAAAGACGGUUUUGCUGUCACUUAUAGAUGGAUCCGCGCCGCAUUAGCUAGUUGGUAAGGUAACGGCCUACCAAGGCAACGAUGCGUAGCCGACCUGAGAGGGUGAUCGGCCACACGGGAACGGAGACACGGUCCAGACUCCUACGGGAGGCAGCAGUAGGGAAUCUUCCGCAAUGGGCGAAAGCUUGACGGAGCAACGCCGCGUGAGUGAUGAAGGUCUUCGGAUCGUAAAACUCUGUUAUUAGGGAAGAACAAAUGUGUAAGUAACUAUGCACGUCUUGACGGUACCUAAUCAGAAAGCCACGGCUAACUACGUG
rnacentral:rRNA from 1 species